rnacentral:tRNA from 1 species
GCCUCUGUGGCGCAAUCGGCUAGCGCGUUCGGCUGUUAACCGAAAGGUUGCUGGUUCGAGCCCACCCGGAAACG